ensembl:snoRNA
UGUACUGUAUGGUAUUUGCACUCAACAGUUUAUUCCCAGUGGUGUGUUCAAAGGACAGUACAAUAGAAAUUCAGUGCCUGGCAAUGAUGGUUUCUUGGCUUUGUGCAUGUUAUACCUGGUAUUUCUAUUGAUACAGUA